UUUCGGGUAUGUUGCGUUGAAAGUGUCUAAUAUUGCGUUGAUUCGAUCACCAUUCCCACAUUAAAGGGAAACGUUGACUUGAUAGUGUUAACUAAUGGGGAAAACUUCUCUGUGCUGGUUUUUCUUCUGCGCUGCAGUCCAUGGGGAGCUGCGCAGGCCCCGGCAGUUUAGAGGAAACAUUGGAUUCAAGUAUUGUGUUUACAAUACUUAUUAUUUUCUAAGACAAGAGACAACAUGCUAGGCUUCUUUUAUCAUAAUACACUUCAUGCGGUGAAAUUUGAAAAAAAGAGACACGGCACGAGCUUCCCGUUUCCAUGGCGACGUCGUCACACAACCUGCUUGCUGCAGAAACCAGACAGCUGUCAGCUAAGCUAACCUCUGUUUUUCAUUGUAACUUCAUAGCAAAUAUGGAGUUCACAGGUAGCAGUUACACUGGAGCCUUCAAGAAUGGCAGGAUGGAGGGAGAAGGAGAGUAUAAAUUCCCCACAGAGACAAGAUAUGUUGGGGAUAUGAAGGAUGGCAUGUUCCAUGGAAAAGGUGUUCUCUAUUUUCCAAAUGGAAGCAAAUAUGAAGGAACUUGGGAGAAAGGGAUAUCCAAACAGGUGUGGAGCAUACUUUCUGUGAUUGUGUGUGUGUGUGCACCUUCAUGCCUGUGUGUGUGUGUGUGUGUGUGUGUGUGUGUGUGUGUGUGUGUGUGUGUGUGUGUGUGUGUGUGUGUGUUUCGCAUUGGUUAUAGUGGCCAUUACAUCUGGUCCCCUUUAGCAAUCAUUCACAUUCAUUGUCGCAGUUAUUCCGUUUCCAUACCUCUCCUCCAACAUGUGCUCUCUGCAUGUUCCACACAGGAAAGACAUUCCUUUUUGGUCGACCGUUCAUUCAUGCGUAUCUUAGCCAUAAUAGUAACCAGUUCGAUUAUUAUCAUGAUUACUGCGGUCCAUUAGACAUGAUCUAGGUUUAGCAAGCCCAUGACCAAACACACCUCACUCCCAUCCAGCUCAGACUUCUCUUUGUUUCAUGGUAAAAUCUCCACAGGAUAUGGAACAUAAAUCUCUCAACAAAGGAUGCACGAUUAAAGACUAUUCAACCAUAUUGACAUACUUAGGCCUCUGUUGUGGUGAAAUGUAAUUCCCCAAUCCAAACAGAAUUGAAGUGGUGAAAGGUUUGUCUGUUUUUUUCCCCCCUAAUAUCCCUUAUUUGCCAUUAAAUACAAGUUUCAAGUUUAUGACUAAAUAACAACAGUUUGUUGCAGGAUACUACAGUGUUUCAUCCACAGGGAAAGUAUACCUUCUCUGAUGGGCUGGAGUACCAGGAGAAGGACUGGGACUUCUGUGAUGGUUAUGACAGACAGUUCUACACUGAGAGGUGCAAUGGACUCAAACCUGCAGGGGAGUCUCAGCUGACAGACCUGGACCCGCCGCGUGUCAUCCCAGAUGGCUGCUAUGACUGUGGGGACGGCUUCUACGACCCCAACACCAGGGUUAUCACUGACUAUGAGCAUCAAUUCCUGAGGAACGCAGAUGACUAUGAACGAGAGUGGAUUGUGUCCACUUGUCGGAAGAGCUGGGAUGAGAUCGUUGGACAUUCACCUGACAACUAGGCUGAAUUUCAGAACUGGACAUUGAGUUGAGGGGCCUGAGCAGCUGCUGAUUUAAAGGCAGCUAAUUUAUGGAAUGUUUAACUGUAUAGGAUACCUGUGAUAUGGAAUAUUACACAUUUUCGUUGUUAUAAAUAUAUAUGAUUUUAACAGAUGCAUAAAAACAUCGGUAGGUUUAUUUCAGAUGCACAAAAACACAGCGAAACGCAUGUAAUGUAGCCAGCCUGUACUGAAAUGUGAUAAAGUCUACAUCGAAAAAGAUGCUAAUGCUUCAAACAUGUUCAUGCAGAAUGAGGAUUUUUUUUUUUUUGGAUUUGUAACUUGUAAAGCCAUGUGUUUUACGUGUAAUGUUUGUCCUUAAUUCUCUGCAUGGUGCUUGGUGCUGCCUGUGUAAUCAGUGUCAGAUUGUUCUCUCAAGUGUCCUGAAAGACUCUGCAGGUAGCAGCCUAAUGGAUGCAAAUCAACAUGAGAUGACUUCCUGUUAUACGUGCAAUAUAUGGCUUUGUUCCAGUUGUAGUCUUAUAUUGAGAUAUAUCUUGUCAGUCUGUACAAAAACACACCAAUGUAAAACCCUCAAAAUCGAGCAUGCAUUCAACUAUAGAAAUAUGCAAAGAACUCUCAAUAUAAGGCUUUGGCUCCGAUAAUUGUAUUUUCUACUAUAAUGCUGUUUAUUGGGAGGGGGGGGGGGCAUAUUUAUGUAGUUUUAUGCAUGUUCGCUUUUGAGGGUUUUACAUUUGUGUGUGUUUUUGUACAGACAGACAAGUUUAUAUUCUGAGUGAGACGUUAUGUCUGCCUCAGCGAGAGCUGCCCUUUGAAACAGAACCCAGAGUAGGGGAUCAAUCUCAUGAUGCAGCCUGACAGUGACUUCCUGUCUGUGAUGGCGCUCCGCUGGGCUCGCGGGAGGCAUCAGCAGCAGAGCCGUGGAGAAAGAGAGGAGAGGAGUUAUUACUGCACGCACUGACCCAUGAAGCGCUCACUAGCACAGCCAUCGGCCUGUGAUUGCUUCCUACCCCGCGCCGGGCACACCCGCACGUACACAACCAGGCAAACCCAGGUUUAAGGAAAAUUCAAACACACCAGAAUAACUCCGAGGCCUAUACAAAUUUACAAUGAAUGAUGCAUAUAGCGUAACAUGUUCAGACACGGUUAUCCAGCAGGAUCACUUAACCUUGACCACGGAUUUUAUUUCAAGAUCUAUUUUUAAAUUGGCACCUCUGCGUGUGCGUGCGUGUGUCCUUUAUUGAUUGUUUGGGAUAAGGAGGUUAAAGUGCUUCUUGCAUCAAAUUAUUGUGGUCCAACUGAAAUUAUUU